AUGCUUCUCCUAAAGACUAAGCCAUGCAUGCCUUCGAAUAAGAGGAAGCAAUUCUCUCUGAAUCUGCGAACGGCUCCGCAAACCAGUUGUAAACUAUAGCAAGCAGGCCGCGUGCCGGCCCUCACGGGCUGGUGCGCGGUCAGAUGGAUAACCCUGGUAAUUCUGAGGCUAAUACAUGAACGUAAACCUAGUUGACCGGGUUUCGGCCUGGGAUUCUGGGGGAUGUGUGAUUGCAGGCUUGGUUUAACCGGGAAUGGGCG
rnacentral:rRNA from 1 species